UGAUUAGUGGCGCACGGGUGAGUAAUGCAUAGAUAAUGUGCCCCUUAGUUCGGGAUAGCCACUGGAAACGGUGAUUAAUACCGGAUACUCCUUCUUGUUAUAAGACAAGUCGGGAAAGUUUUUCGCUAAGGGAUCAGUCUAUGUUCCAUCAGCUUGUUGGUGAGGUAAUGGCUCACCAAGGCUAUGACGGAUAUCUGGUUUGAGAGGAUGAUCAGACACACUGGAACUGAGACACGGUCCAGACUCCUACGGGAGGCAGCAGUGAGGAAUAUUGCACAAUGGAGGAAACUCUGAUGCAGCAACGCCGCGUGGAGGAUGACGCAUUUCGGUGUGUAAACUCCUUUUAUUAGGGAAGAUAAUGACGGUACCUAAUGAAUAAGCACCGGCUAACUCCGUGCCAGCAGCCGCGGUAAUACGGAGGGUGCAAGCGUUACUCGGAAUCACUGGGCGUAAAGGGUGCGUAGGCUGGCUUUUAAGUCAGAUGUGAAAUCCAAUGGCUCAACCAUUGAACUGCAUUUGAAACUGAAAGCCUAGAGUUCAGAAGGGGCAGAUGGAAUUAGUGGUGUAGGGGUAAAAUCCGUAGAUAUCACUAGGAAUAUCAAAAGCGAAGGCGAUCUGCUGGGAUGAUACUGACGCUG
rnacentral:rRNA from 1 species